rnacentral:lncRNA from 1 species
UCGUAUCAGACUCAAUAUACCUAUGACCAUCAUAUUUUGUGAUCGUAUCUAGCUCAAUACCUUUCUGAUUCAUAUCAAUCACCUUUUCGGCAUUCACGACCAUCUCCUCCUUACAAAGUGCAUCGAUCAACCAGGAUAUUGAAGGUGACAACAUCCGGAAAGAAACCGCCGUAAGUGACAACAUUCGGAAGGAAACCGUAAGUGACAACAUUUAGGACGGUCAUGCUUCAUCAGUUCGUAUGGGAGAGUACUAUCCCACAAACUGUAAAUUUAAAUUAGUUUUGAAUUGCUCUCGUGCCUCCGUUAUUUGAUAUUGAGAUUCUCUUUGCCUAUCUGAGAGCUUUCUCCGCUCUCCCCGCACAUGACAAGAACCACAGAUGAGCAACAGAUGAGCAGAAGCAUUUCUCGAAUCAACCAGGAUAUUGAAGGUGACAACAUCCGGUGACAACAUCCGGAAGGAAACAGUAAGUGACAGCAUUUGGAGCUAUACACCUACCGAUGAGAGGAGCUUCAAUGCUUCAUCAGUUUGUAUGAUGAAGAUACAAAAGACUACGUCAUGCUGGUAUCCUCUUUCUUCCAUCUUCCUGAGUAAGAGACCAAUUUGUUUAUGUAAAGAGAUGACUGCCGAAAAGAAUUGUAAUUUGACAAGGCAUAGUCCAGAUCUGAUUGAAACUCACUUUCGGUAGAUGGGUUUCUCUCGAAUGAAACAAAUCUACAAAAUUGUUGAGGGGAGGACAAGAACAGAGCACACCUCUUGUGCCGCGCCUGAGGAUCAUCCUCGUCGGAUCAAGAAUUGAGUUUUGUUUUGGGAUUGAGAUGAGGUUUGAUAAGAUUGGGAUGUGAGGUUGAUAAGAUUGGAGAGGGAGGCGGAGUGUUCUCAACUUCUCAACUAGGUCGUGUUCUUUUUUUUUUUAUGGAAUUAUCUAGGUCUUGUCUUAAAUAAGACAUCUUCCCCGUCUUUUUCUGUUUGCUGUUUGGGCCUUUGGGCCAGUUUUGGGUGGUGUAGGUUUUACUUUUAGCAAAGGUUCUGUUUGUUUGGCCCAGUUAUCGACAUGUUUCGGCUCAAAAAAAACACGAGCCAAUCUGUCCAAUUUGUCUGUUCUCUCUGUUUUGUUUUCCUGUUGCUCGAGUUUGUUUUCUUUCAUGUUCCAAGUAUAGGCUCCUAGUUCAGAAUCUUGUUUUGUUUGCUGUCCUUGGACAAUUUUGCUCCAAAUAUCCGUUAUACUGUUUCAUGAUGAAUGAAGAUUCAAUUUGAACCACUAUGACUACCUUGUGGUGGUUGGUCCAUGCAUCUCUUCAAAAUUGGAAGAUGACGAUCACUCUCAUCGAAGACGAGAUGCAAUCCAUAUUCCAAGGACAGUUUCAUUGAGGGGAUGAAUACUGAAACAUCAUCUUUCGUCCAGUAACAUAGGCGUCCAAGCUUCAGACCUGGGUUGUUCCUAAGCGGCAGUGCGGCACAUCCUUUAUGAACCAAACACCCCUACUGAAGUGGCUGCUGCUCGGUCACCACCUGACCCACAAACCCAAACCUGGACAACCAACCGAACCCACUUAUCAGCUCCAUAAUAGACGUUUUACAUGCUCUUUCGUUAGAAAUUGGAAAAUCAUAUCUAUGAAUCGGUCGUGUGCACAUCCGCAUGCUAGACUCGAACUAACAUGCAAGUUGCAGCCUACCUUUUGAAAUUACUGUUUCUCUUAUCCAACUUUGAAGUCACGUCAAGAGCCUCAGUGUUGAGGAUUUCAUUCCCAACAAAAAUGUGCGAGGCACUUCAGCACCUUCAACCUUUAGUUAUGUCAUUUGCACACUCCUGCAAGACAGAGAAAGAUAGUAAUAUGUCCCAUCUGCAGAAAAAGAAAACUUUAUUUACCAAAGAGCUGCAGAUAACACCAUUUGAAAAUCAAGAAGAACAACAGACAACAGAUUUGAUAAAACAUGCAGCUCAGUUCAAAGUAGUUUAUUGUUUAAGUAGAUGGGACUUACAUUUAUGCAUGCUGUAACUGUAUCUGAAACAUCAGCACUCUCACAAACCUCCGGUUGUUCAUAGUUCAUUACGAGGAACAGCGUUUAGAAGUCAAUAUAGCUGAACCUGCUAUCUGGAAUUCUGGACUCAGAGCUUCAAGUACCAGCAUCACCAGAAGUCUUGACAGGAGCAAGUGCCAUUCUUAAAAUCAUGAAACCGCUUGAUGUCACGUACAAUUAUCUCCCUAUUUGUGAUGUCUGAGAUGAGCUUCAUAACAUCAUGGCAGUCCCCACAUAUGCGUAGAUUUUUGAAAAUACAAAUAGUUUUUACAGGAUCGGUGCUUAGGAGGGCAUACGCAAGAACCAACCUUUCACUGUGAUAUUGGAGAUGUAUCUUUUUUUCUCGCUCGGUGAUAUCGUGGAGAACGUUCUCUGUGUCUGGUACAUAACCAACUGAAGUCAGCAUUACACUUGAAGCAAUUCCGAAAGUACAUUCGUUCGUGUUCCUGUUAUGCAACAGUAGCACUGUGUACUUCCCUUUCGGUAGUAAAUCAGUUAUGACAUAUUUACUAAUGCUCUGUAUAAUAUUGAUCUCUUUCUCCAGAAUGGCUUCUUAACCUUGAGCGUCAAGGCUUCUUAGUGUUCGGAGAUAGCAUCUUGCAUUGACAUUAUAACCACAGUUUGUACAGUUGUUGCAUUUGUUGCAUUUGGUUCUUCUUUUACAAAGUGGAAGAGCAAAUAUUAUCUGCUCCAAAAGUAAAUUAUCUUCUUUUACAAGUCCUAGUCCUAUUCAUUUCUCUUCCGCAUUGCAUUUAAGAGCUGCAUCAAAAUUGGAAGAUGACAAUCAGUCCGUCUUAGAAGAGUUUCUUAGAAAUAAUGCAGCCAAUUCACAUACAGAGAACACAAACAGUAAACAAAUGUGUUGCAUCAACUGAUUUCACUAGUAAUUCAUUUGACUCGAUUACUACACAUAUGUAAGAUAAAUUACACUGAAUGCAAUACCAAAUGUACAUUCGUUCCCGUUAUGCAACUACUUACAAACAAUAAUAGACACCAAAACAACAAUCAAGCAAAGUCUCAAGUUUUCUCACUCAAAUAACAAAAAAGGCCUCAAUUGUAAAAUCCGUAAAGCAAUAUGCUACAACACCGAACAUCAACCAUGAAAAACUUGUAUUUAAGUGUGUGAUCGUGUCAGGUUCAAUACCUCUCUGAAUCAUCAUAUCAAUCACUUUCAUGACCAUCAUAUUGUGUGUGCUCGUAUCUGACUCAAUACGAUUCUGAAUCAUAUCAAUCACCUUUUCAGCUUUCAAGAUCUCCUCCUUACAAAUCUCCUCCUUACAAAGUGCAUCGAUCAACCAGGAUAUUAAAGGUGACAACAUCAGGAAGGAUACCGUAAGUGACAACAUUUGGAGCUAUACACCUACCGAUGAGAGCUAUGCUGUAGAUGCUCUUGCUGUCUAACAAGGAAGGAGAAAUUCCCCUUCACAUCGCUGCGAGG